AACGAACGCUGGUGGCAUGCCUAACACAUGCAAGUCGAACGAGACCUUCGGGUCUAGUGGCGCACGGGUGCGUAACGCGUGGGAACCUGCCCUUAGGUUCGGAAUAACUCCCCGAAAGGGGUGCUAAUACCGGAUAAUGUCUUCGGACCAAAGAUUUAUCGCCUUUGGAUGGGCCCGCGUUGGAUUAGCUAGUUGGUAGGGUAAAAGCCUACCAAGGCGACGAUCCAUAGCUGGUCUGAGAGGAUGAUCAGCCACACUGGGACUGAGACACGGCCCAGACUCCUACGGGAGGCAGCAGUGGGGAAUAUUGGACAAUGGGCGAAAGCCUGAUCCAGCAAUGCCGCGUGAGUGAUGAAGGCCUUAGGGUUGUAAAGCUCUUUUACCCGGGAUGAUAAUGACAGUACCGGGAGAAUAAGAUCCGGCUAACUCCGUG
rnacentral:rRNA from 1 species